rnacentral:lncRNA from 1 species
UAAUUUUGUACAUAGGAUAGUCUCUUCAUCUUCUCCAUAUUUUUUUUAAUUUCAAAAUCUCUCCCUCCAUUUUUCAAAAUCUUCUUUGUGUGAACUAUUUUUGUUCUAAACUUUGACCACUUUUGCAAAAAAGAUAGAAACUUUGGCCUUAUGCCGUUGCAUUUUCAAACUUCUUUUCUUGAAUCAAACUUGUAAACAAACUUAACUAUACUUGACUUAAA